GUCCUCGACGACCGCCCCGACUUGGCUGUGCGUCCGGAUCUUGAUGUGCGUUCCGAUGUCGAGGAAAUGCCGGACACGUCUGAGCGCUCAGACCUGGACGACAGCUCGGAAAUGGACGAAACUUUGGUCUUGGAGACCUCUGUUUACUCCAGUGGCUUCAGGGUUAUAUUACGAAGUGAGAGGGAGUGUACCUAUAAUGAGCAUCUGCACACUGAACGCUGAGUGGCUUACACACCGACCACAGAUAGAAGAAGCCGCCAGUCAUGUGGAAGCAUGAGCCGACCAAGCCGAGGAAGAUCGGGGUGCCGAGGUCGAACCUGUUGGCAUCGGAACAGAGAGACUGUGAGGGGAAAAAAAUGAAGUUGGUGGUCAGGUUGAAAAGUUACGUGCAAGCCUGCUGACUUACUUCAGUCCGUCAAAGUCGGGGUUGAAGUACUCUACGGAGACGUACUGUGCAUAAACACUGUACCCUGAUAUGGACAGCAGACCUGAAGAGAGAUCAUGUUGGGAGACGAGAAAACAAAAAACUUGUACAGGUUGCACAUAUAUCUGCCGGCUGUCAUCUCAUUAAAACUAGACAUUACCGCUGAUAAUGUGGCACCAUCCACCAGCGUAGAUCUUCUUGUACUUUGAUCUGUCCUUUCCCCCGAUGAAGGUGCACUCCAUCCCCAGCAGGCUGAGCACAAAGCCCAGCAUGCCCAGGGAAAGAGCUGUCAUCAGCAGGCCUCGCACGAUCUGGAUGGAGCCUGGGAGACGCAAAUAGACAUCAGUGAGAGUCUACAUGUCAGUGGAGCCCUCGACUGAAACAUUUGUUGGACAGCGAGGGAAGAAUGUGUCACCUACCCUCAACGGACCAGAGCAUGGGGUAGUCGUAACAGUUGCUGACAGCGGUCGAGUCUGUAAAACAGGAUCUCCACAGGCUGGACCAGUACCAGGCCACCUUGAUGAUGGAAGAGCCCCCCAUGCCCCCGAUUGAGGUGAUCUUCCAGCCCUCCAUGGCCAUGGUGCAGGCCACGAAGAUCCAUCCCAACACGGUCAUCAGGAAGCCCCAGAUCUGGACCACGCGAAUCUUCAUCUCAGAGGCUUUUAUGUCCCUUACUCAUGUAGAGGACGUGUACAUCCUGGGCUGAACUGAAGCGGCUUCCUGCUCCACCGCUUUCCUCAGAAAAAAAGAAGAGGACGAGUGUAUCACAGGGACAAAUCAGGGGAUGUGUUGUUGUUUUCCAUAUGUGGAAAGUGUGGAUGGGAGACGAAAGUUGCUCAGGUUCCCACGGGCCCCAUUUGAAUCUGGACUGAGAAUGCUCACCUAAGCAUUUAUCUCAAAUUACUCUUCAUGCCACCAUCGCGGGCAUUACCUCAUGUGCAGGAACAUGAGGGGAAGGAAGGGGAAGGAAGAAUCCGUAUAUCAUAUUACUUUGUUUUCUUUAAUUAUGUCGUUUUCUCAAUGUAUGUUGUUUCUGGCACUGUAAGUUCAGGCCACAGUAUAGCUAAAUGUAUAGUCAUAUAUCCUUCCAGCAAUUUUGUAUUGCACUUCCAUAAAAUUCAGGUCUCAUAACUGACAAAUAAGAAUAAAUCAAAAUAAAGCAGCAAAAAAGA